AAUUUAACCCUUCUUCCCUAGCGUCAUGCAGAUCGAGGGCGAUCACGAUGUCCGGUCCUCCAUGCCUGAGGCCGAUCUCUUACCGGCCAAGUCCGCCAGAAGGCAAGAUGCUGCCGAGGACGCUUCAUGCAGGGCGUACGUCGACCAACUCCAUCUGCCUCCGAUCUCUGAGCUCGGCGUUGCCUGGCCGUCAACAGCAGCACCCUCUGAAUCUGAACAGAUCCGUCGGUAUCCGCUCUUUUCUCAGAAGCCGCACAACCCCGGUGUGCUAAACCCAUUUCAGGGUUGAAAAAAGCCCCAAAUCAUCUUCUCGGCAAGACGAUAUCCACAUGCUUAAGCUACUUGAGAAUAGUUACACUCAGUGAAGAUUUAUCAAUGCAAAAGCUCAGGCAGCUGAAGAAGCUAAGAGAGUCUCUGCGAGAUGCUGCAUUUGGACAAGUGGGACAGUGUUGAAGAUGAUUAUUCAGUCAGGGAUAACUAAAGCUCUGCAGGAUGCUUCACUUCGACUCCCAAUUACUGAUGAUGUUAAGGUUGAUAUAAGAGAACUUGAAGAAGUUAUGAAUGUGACAUUACUAGAGCUGGUAUCAUUGUCACCGUGCACGGGAAGAUUUCAACCAAAGGCUGAAGAUAUUUACGUCGGAGCUUCAAAUCUAGCAAGUUGUACCAGUAACGAGAGGGUUUUGAUCGAAGAUUGAGGAAAUCUAUCAUUGACUUCAGGGAUAUAUUGACUAGGAAUCUAGAACAAAAGUUUCACAAAUUGUUUUUCAUAUAUAUAGGUCAAGGAAUUGAGCUUGAGAUCCCAACUUACUCAAACAAAGGAAAGCAGUCAGUCUGUGAUCAAUUGAUCAAUCGAUUAAUCCUCCUGUUCGAUAGCCCUUAUUCUUUUUUCAAAAUGAACAACACGAAGUGCAGAUACUUACAGUUUGAUGAAGGGUCGGCUUAGUUCAUAACCCUUCGAUAUAGAACAUUGAAUAUAGAUUAGCUC